rnacentral:misc_RNA from 1 species
AGCAGCCGCGGUAAUUCCAGCUCCAAUAGCGUAUAUUAAAGUUGUUGCAGUUAAAAAGCUCGUAGUUGAAUUUCGGGAUCAAUUAAUCGGUCGUGCCUCUGGUACGCACUGGUUUUAUUGGUUUCUCCCUUCUGACGAACCAGGAUGUCAUUAAUUUGGUGUCUUGGAGAAUCAGGACUGUUACUUUGAAAAAUUAGAGUGUUUAAAGCAGGCUAACGCUUGAAUACAUUAGCAUGGAAUAAUGAAAUAGGACGUUUGAUCCUAUUUUGUUGGUUUCUAGGAUCGACGUAAUGAUUAAUAGGGAUAGUUGGGGGCAUUAGUAUUCAAUUGUCAGAGGUGAAAUUCUUGGAUUUAUUGAAGACUAACUACUGCGAAAGCAUUUGCCAAGGAUGUUUUCAUUAAUCAAGAACGAAAGUUAGGGGAUCGAAGACGAUCAGAUACCGUCGUAGUCUUAACCAUAAACUAUGCCGACUAGGGAUCGGAUGAUGUUUAAUUUUUAUGUACUCAUUCGGCUCCUUAA